rnacentral:misc_RNA from 1 species
CACGUACUGUGCGAACGUUAUUCGGAAUCACUGGGCUUAAAGGGUGCGUAGGCGGCCGUCCAAGUCAGGUGUGAAAGGCUCCGGCUCAACCGGAGGAUUGCGCUUGAAACUGGUCGGCUUGAGUGAGACAGGGGUGUGUGGAACUGCCGGUGGAGCGGUGAAAUGUGUUGAUAUCGGCAGGAACACCGGAGGCGAAAGCGACACACUGGGUCUCAACUGACGCUGAGGCACGAAAGCUAGGGUAGCGAACGGG